rnacentral:sRNA from 1 species
CGACCCUCUAAUUUAUUAGAAGGUCACCUAGCCAACUGACGUUGUUAGUGAACCAAUUUGUUCACAUAUUUUUCAGCCACUUGAUUAUUCAAGUGGCUUUUUUUCU